rnacentral:rRNA from 1 species
UGUAACAGUGCAUUCUGCCCAGUGAUUUUUUUUUAAAUGGCCGCAGUACCUUGACUGUGCUAAGGUAGCAUAAUCAAUUGGCUUCUAAUUAAAGUCUGGAAUGAAAGGAAAUAUGAAGUAAUUCUAUCUUAAAGGAUUUUUUUUGAAUUUAUUUAAAUGAUGAAAAUAUCAUUUUAUAGAAAAAAGACGAGAAGACCCUUAGAGUUUUGAUAUUUAUAUAUUUUUGUUGGGGCGACAGGUAAACAUAUAACUUUACGAAUUAUCAUUGAUCGAUUUUUUAUAAGAAUAAUAAAACUACCUUAGGGAUAACAGCAUUAUAUUUUUUUUUAUGAUUGUGACCUCGAUGUUGGACUAGGAACUUUAUGGCUAGCCGUCAAAAAAGAUUUGUUCUGUUCGAACAAUUUUAUCCUACGUGAUCUGGUUU